CAGAAGAGUCUCGCGGGGAUAGUCAGUGCGCAGGGAGACUAGCACAGGCCGGCAGAGAAGUGACCCAGCCCCGGAUUGCCUGGAAGUGAGAGUUCAGAGAGCAGAGACAACUGUCCAGAGCUAGACCUUGAAGACUCCUCAACGCUGAAGGUCACCGAGAGGAGGGACAGCCAAGGAAACUGAGUCGCAGCAGCCGUGGAGGCAGGCGGGAAAUUCUACUCACUCAGAGCUGUUCCAGACCCCAGACAUUCAGGUAAAUAAAGCACAUGCAGAAGUCCCACUGGCAGGGCCAAGGCAUGGAGCUCUCCAUCCCGGAACUGGGGCUUGAACUUGGCCAACCUGAGUUGGGGCAGAUCAUACCCUCCAGCUCUGGUCUGUCCUGAUUUUCUUCUGGCCACAGCACAUCCCCUCCCACUGUUCCUGUGGCAGCCAGCCUUCCAGAUGCACCCCACCUCCUGGCAAUCCUGCCCUCAUGUAGUCCCCUCCCACAUUAAAUAGGGCUGACCUGUGUUACCAGUUGUGGAAAUGACAGACUGUGACCAGGUCAUCAUAGAUAUUGCGGCUUCCAUCUUGCUCUCUCUUGAAUCACUCACGAUGGCGAGAGUCAGCUGCCAUGUUGUGAGGCUGCUUAAGCAGCCCUGUGCAGGCGUCCAGAAGGUGAAAAACUGAGGCCUCCUGCCAACAGCCACACGAACUCAUCAUCCGUGGUGGGAAGCCAUCUCCAGCCCCAGCCACGCCUUCAGGUGACUACAAACCCAGCUGCAUCUUGAUGCCAACCUCAUGAGUCAGAAGCCACUCCUGGAUUCCCAACCCACAGAAACUGUGAGACAUUAAAUGAUUAUUGUUGCUUUAGGCCACUAUGUUUUGUUCCACGGGAUGAUUUGUUCCACAGCAUUAGCUAGCUAAUAUUCGUCCAGAGAGGUCAGCCUCCUGGGGUCAGAGUAGAGGAGGUCAGAGAAUGAACACGGAGGGGCAGACAAUGCAGAGUCAGAACACUUGGUUUCCUGAUCCCAUAUUGUCCUGCUACACAUUUUCAAAAAGGGGAGGGGUAUUAAAAAUGAAGCAAAGUAGUUCAGUAUGCUUCAACCAGCCGUGAUCACCCUGGGACCAUCUGCUUCUAUGAACUGGACACUAUCGUCCCAUAGUGCCCCAAAUUAGGUUCCCCUUACAAAAACAGCACCACGCUGGUGGCGACUGAAACCCUGAGCUUCUUUUCACACACACCGCCCAGACCGCCCAGACCUCCUCAACUGGUUCUAUGCUUGGACACCAGAUUUCUCUUUAAAACCUAACUUUCUCUGAUAUCAAUUGAUCUUGGCCUUACUCCAAAGUUCCAAUCUAUCGAAAUCACUUUCAUCUCCCAUUUGGCUGUCACUUUCACUGUUCCCUCCAAUAUGUGUCACCUGCACAUCUGACCCUGUACUUUCUGCCAUCUUCAUCCAGAAAGUGGACUGAACGUUGAUUGGCUAGGGCAGAGCUCACCACAGAGCCCUUUGGUACUCCAUGACCACCAGGGCAACGGACUCCUUGAUGGCAAACACUUUGCUGAUAGACGUGCAAUCUGCCAUAAAUCCCACCAAAAAACACCGUCAUUACCAGUGAGUUUGCCAAUCCUUUAUUAAAAUGCCGGCUGGGGGUGGUGGCCUAUGCCUGUAGUCCCAGCUACUCAGGAGGCUGAGACUGGAUCACUGGGGCCCAGGUGUU
rnacentral:lncRNA from 10 species